UUGUGCUUGAGGCCCAAUGUGCCAAUUGCAAGUGAGGGCAAGGGUUCACCAUAUGUUCAUUUGUGUUCAGUUCAUAUGUUUUCCUCUCAAACAUUCCUUGGCUGGAGAACCUAGCUUCAUCGCGCCAGAAAUCUCCUCCGGUGACGGAGGAGAUUCAAAUACUUCGAAUCAUGCAUUAAUUUUCUUGCCUCAUCUUCCUCUCUCACCUUACCAUAUUCAUUUUCUCUAAUUUAUAUCCUAUCAUUCAAACUGAGAUAAAACUUGCUAUGAACCCUAAAUCCCUAACUAAAAUUAAACGCAAGGAUGAAGGAAUCAAAUCCUAAUUCCUUAGGGCUUUGAUUCCUCAGACAAUAAUCUACAUGAUGGUAACUCGCUCAAGGCAAAGUGGAAGCGCUAAACCUACCUACGAGGAUGAGAUGUUCCUCGGUACGAGUUGAGUUCGAAGCCAAGGAAGAUGAAGAUGGAUAUGUUGCACAUAGGGAUUCCAACAUUGAGCCUAAGUGAGGAACCAUUGCCAUGAGCUUCUAAGAGAGAGAGAUCUAAAAGCCAUUGAGGAACUUUCCAAGAGCUUGUUUGAUUAUGUUGAUUGCUUAAGCUUACACUUAUUUUGCUUGCAUAUUCCAAAGGAUGGGAGCUACUUGGAUCAUCAAUAUGAUCUCAAGAGAGGAACUCCAUUUGUGGUCUUGUUUCUUAUCCCUUAUCUCUUGUAUGAUUAGGACUUUAGCCCUUCUUCUUCUUCCCUCCACUCUAACCCAAGCCAAAACUUUUGUGCAAACAUUUAACAUUUGUUUUCAAACAUUAGAAACCUAAGCCUUAUGUUUUUGAUUUUCCAACUUCUUUUCAUAACACUUAUUUUGAAUUGAACUUUUAAGUCAACUUUGACCAUACUUUGUAAAUGCUUUUCAUUGGUAAAUACCACUCAUUCAAAUA